rnacentral:misc_RNA from 1 species
GAUGAAGAACGUAGCGAAAUGCGAUAAGUAAUGCGAAUUGCAGAAUUCAGCGAGUCAUCGAGUCUUUGAACGCACAUUGCGCCCCCUGGUAUUCCGGGGGGCAUGCCUGUCCGAGCGUCAUUGCUGCCCUCAAGCACGGCUUGUGUGUUGGGCCUCCGUCCUCCUCCCGGGGGACGGGCCCGAAAGGCAGCGGCGGCACCGCGUCCGGUCCUCGAGCGUAUGGGGCUUCGUCACCCGCUCUUGUAGGCCCGGUCGGCGCUUGCCGACACAUCAAUCUUUUUUCCAGGUUGACCUCGGAUCAGGUAGGGAUACCCGCUGAACUUAAGCAUAUCAAUAAGCGGAGGA